rnacentral:rRNA from 1 species
AUUGAACGCUGGCGGCAUGCCUUACACAUGCAAGUCGAACGGCAGCACGGACUUCGGUCUGGUGGCGAGUGGCGAACGGGUGAGUAAUGUAUCGGAACGUACCUUUCAGUGGGGGAUAACGUAGCGAAAGUUACGCUAAUACCGCAUAUUCUGUGAGCAGGAAAGCAGGGGAUCGCAAAGACCUUGCGCUGAUUGAGCGGCCGAUAUCAGAUUAGCUAGUUGGUGAGGUAAAGGCUCACCAAGGCGACGAUCUGUAGCGGGUCUGAGAGGAUGAUCCGCCACACUGGAACUGAGACACGGUCCAGACUCCUACGGGAGGCAGCAGUGGGGAAUUUUGGACAAUGGGGGCAACCCUGAUCCAGCCAUGCCGCGUGAGUGAAGAAGGCCUCGGUUGGUAAAGGACGUCUUUCGGUCCGGGAACGGAAAGUACGCCGAAUGGGCGUAAUACCCUACG